rnacentral:rRNA from 1 species
CACGUAAGAGGCAAGCGUUAUUCGUCAUUAAUGGGUCUAAAGGGCUCGUAGGCGGCCAACUAAGUCGGAUGUGAAAUCCCCAGGCUUAACCUGGGAACUGCAUCCGAUACUGGAUGGCUUGAAUCCGGGAGAGGGAUGCAGAAUUCCAGGUGUAGCGGUGAAAUGCGUAGAUAUCUGGAGGAAUACCGGUGGCGAAGGCGGCAUCCUGGACCGGCAUUGACGCUGAUGAGCGAAAGCUAGGGGAGCAAACGGG